UACGUAGGGUGCGAGCGUUAAUCGGAAUUACUGGGCGUAAAGGGUGCGCAGGUGGCUUAGCAAGUCGAGUGUGAAAUCCCCGGGCUUAACUUGGGAAUUGCGCUCGAAACUACUUGGCUCGAGUGUGGCAGAGGAAGGUGGAAUUCCAGGUGUAGCGGUGAAAUGCGUAGAGAUCUGGAGGAACACCGAUGGCGAAAGCAGCCUUCUGGGCCAACACUGACGCUCAUGCACGAAAGCGUGGGGAGCAAACAGG
rnacentral:rRNA from 1 species